UUACUCUGGUUUCUCUUCAACACGCAUAAAUCUUUCGCCUUUUACUAAAGAUUUCCGUGGAGAGAAGCAGUAACGAGUUUACACCCAAUUUUUCGAGGCCCCGUUCCGGCGGGGCU